rnacentral:rRNA from 1 species
UAGGGCUUCACACGUCAUACAAUGGUCGGUACAGAGGGUUGCCAAGCCGCGAGGUGGAGCCAAUCCCACAAAGCCGAUCGUAGUCCGGAUCGCAGUCUGCAACUCGACUGCGUGAAGUCGGAAUCGCUAGUAAUCGUGGAUCAGCAUGUCACGGUGAAUACGUUCCCGGGUCUU